GGAUUAAUACCUCAUAGUAUUAUAGACUGGCCUCAGUUUAUGAUUAAAGGUUACGGUAAGAGAUGAGCAUGCGUCCUAUUAGCUAGAUGGUAAGGUAACGGCUUACCAUGGCUACGAUAGGUAGGGGUCCUGAGAGGGAGAUCCCCCACACUGGUACUGAGACACGGACCAGACUCCUACGGGAGGCAGCAGUGAGGAAUAUUGGACAAUGGGCGAGAGCCUGAUCCAGCCAUGCCGCGUGCAGGAAGACGGCCCUAUGGGUUGUAAACUGCUUUUACAGAGGAAGAACCCUCCUUACGUGUAAGGAGCUGACGGUACUCUAUGAAUAAGGAUCGGCUAACUCCGUGCCAGCAGCCGCGGUAAUACGGAGGAUCCAAGCGUUAUCCGGAAUCAUUGGGUUUAAAGGGUCCGUAGGCGGGUCUAUAAGUCAGUGGUGAAAGUCUGCAGCUUAACUGUAGAACUGCCAUUGAUACUGUAGACCUUGAAUUAGUAUGAAGUGGUUAGAAUGUGUAGUGUAGCGGUGAAAUGCAUAGAUAUUACACAGAAUACCGAUUGCGAAGGCAGAUCACUAAUACUAUAUUGACGCUGAUGGACGAAAGCGU
rnacentral:rRNA from 1 species